GACGAACGCUGGCGGCGUGCUUAACACAUGCCAGUCGAACGGAAAGGCCCUGCUUUUGUGGGGUGCUCGAGUGGCGAACGGGUGAGUAACACGUGAGUAACCUGCCCUUGACUUUGGGAUAACUUCAGGAAACUGGGGCUAAUACCGGAUAGGAGCUCCUGCUGCAUGGUGGGGGUUGGAAAGUUUCGGCGGUUGGGGAUGGACUCGCGGCUUAUCAGCUUGUUGGUGGGGUAGUGGCUUACCAAGGCUUUGACGGGUAGCCGGCCUGAGAGGGUGACCGGCCACAUUGGGACUGAGAUAGGGCCCAGACUCCUACGGGAGGCAGCAGUGGGGAAUAUUGCACAAUGGGCGGAAGCCUGAUGCAGCAACGCCGCGUGCGGGAUGACGGCCUUCGGGUUGUAAACCGCUUUCGCCUGUGACGAAGCGUGAGUGACGGUAAUGGGUAAAGAAGCACCGGCUAACUACGUG
rnacentral:rRNA from 1 species